rnacentral:rRNA from 1 species
GGCCUGGCUGGACGGUCCGCCUAACGGUGUGUACUGUUCGGCUGGGUCUUACCUCUUGGUGAGCCAGCAUGGCCUUCACUGGCUGUGUUGGUGAACCAGGACUUUUACCUUGAGAAAAUUAGAGUGUUCAAAGCAGGCCUAUGCCCGAAUACAUUAGCAUGGAAUAAUAAAAUAGGACGUGCGGUUCUAUUUUGUUGGUUUCUAGAGUCGCCGUA